UACGUAGGGCGCAAGCGUUGUCCGGAAUUAUUGGGCGUAAAGAGCUCGUAGGCGGCUUGUCGCGUUGUUCGUGAAAACUCACAGCUCAACUGUGGGCGUGCGGGCGAUACGGGCAGACUAGAGUACUGCAGGGGAGACUGGAAUUCCUGGUGUAGCGGUGGAAUGCGCAGAUAUCAGGAGGAACACCGGUGGCGAAGGCGGGUCUCUGGGCAGUAACUGACGCUGAGGAGCGAAAGCGUGGGGAGCGAACAGG
rnacentral:rRNA from 1 species